GCGUCGAGCGGCGGACGGGUGAGUAAUGCCUAGGAAAUUGCCCUGAUGUGGGGGAUAACCAUUGGAAACGAUGGCUAAUACCGCAUGAUGCCUACGGGCCAAAGAGGGGGACCUUCGGGCCUCUCGCGUCAGGAUAUGCCUAGGUGGGAUUAGCUAGUUGGUGAGGUAAGGGCUCACCAAGGCGACGAUCCCUAGCUGGUCUGAGAGGAUGAUCAGCCACACUGGAACUGAGACACGGUCCAGACUCCUACGGGAGGCAGCAG
rnacentral:rRNA from 1 species